UAAAAAUUUAUGAUUUUAAAAAUUUAUUUUUAAUUUAUUUUACAUACAAAUUUUAGUAUUAAUUUUUAAUUAUUUUAAUAAUAUAAUUAAAUUAGUAGUAAUUAAAAUUAAAAAUUUAAGAAAUUAAGAUUUAGUAAUAUUAAAAUUAAUAACAAAUUUUGUGCCAGCAGUUGCGGUUAUACAAAAAUUAAAAUAAAUUUUUUUAGUUAUAGUUAAUAUAAAUAAUUAUUUUAAAUUAAAUAUUAAAUUAUUAAGUAAAAUUUUAAUUUAAAUAAAAUUUAUAAUUUAUUUAUAAUCUAAUAAAUUUAAGUAAUAAACUAGGAUUAGAUACCCUAUUAUUUUAAAUUUUAAAUAAAAACUAAAAUAGUAGAUAAAUAAUUAUUGGAACUUAAAUAAUUUGGCGGUAAUUUAGUUCAUUUAGAGGAAUCUGUUUAAUAAUUGAUAUUCCACGAAUAAAUUUACUUAAUUUAAUAUUUUGUAUAUCGUUGUUAAAAAAAUAUUUUUAAAUAAAAAUAAUAUUUAAAAAUUAAAAAUAAAAAUUAAUUCAAAUCAAGAUGCAGAUUAUAAUUAAGAAUAUAAUGGAUUACAAUAAAUUUAUUUAAAUGAAUUUUUUUUUUGUAAUAAUUUAAUAAAAGUGGAUUUAAAUGUAAUUUUAAAUAAUUUUUUAAAAUGAUUAAAAAUUGAAUUAUGUACAUAUUGCCCGUCGCUUUCAUUUUAAAAUUGGAAUAAGUCGUAACAAAGUAGGAGUACUGGAAAGUGUUUCUAGAAAGAA
rnacentral:ncRNA from 1 species